rnacentral:rRNA from 1 species
CCUACGGGUGGCAGCAGUCGAGAAUCAUUCACAAUGGGGGAAACCCUGAUGGUGCGACGCCGCGUGGGGGAAUGAAGGUCUUCGGUUUGUAAACCCCUGUCAUGUGGGAGCAAAUUAAAAAGAUCGUACCACAAGAGGAAGAGACGGCUAACUCUGUGCCAGCAGCUGCGGUAAUACAGAGGUCUCAAGCGUUGUUCGGAUGCACUGGGCGUAAAGGGUGCGUAGGCGGUUUCGUAAGUCUGGUGUGAAAGGCGCGGGCUCAACCAGCGAACGGCACAUGAUACUGCGAGACUAGAGUAGUGGAGGGGGAACAGGAAUUCGCGGUGUAGCAGUGAAAGGCGUAGAUAUCAGGAGGAACACUCGUGGCGAAGGCGGGUUCCUGGACAUUAACUGACGCUGAGGCACGAAGGCCAGGGGAGCGAAAGGGAUUAGAUACCCCAGUAGUC